AAGAAGAAGAGGAGAAGCCAUAGGAGCAAAAUUAUUACUCACAACCGUUUAGAUUUUUAUUCUGCCUCUUAACAUUUCAUGAAUUUUGUUUUUUUUUAAGCCAUCUUCUUUUUCAGUUGAGUCUCACAGUUCUGUGAAGAAACUGAAGCCCAGUGAGGAGGCAUUUGAGGAACCAAGACCCCACCCAGGCGGAAGUUGGCAACUUCAAGCUGAGCGCAAGAUUCCUGGAACACCACCCUGUUGCAUCAGCACCAACCAACCAGAAGAAAUUCACACAUCCUACAACCCUCACCCCAAAUUUUGCCUUUAAAAACUCUUUCCUGACAACAAUCAGAGAGUACAGGUCUUUUGAGUAUGAGUCAGGUCUUUCGUGCCUCUUCAUACUCCUUGUUUGGCCCUGCAAUAAAACUUUCUCUGCCCCAAA